GACAGAGCACGCAAGCGUUGUUCGGAAUCAUUGGGCUUAAAGCGCGUGUAGGCGGCUUCGCAAGUACCUUGUGAAAGCCCUCGGCUCAACCGGGGAAUCGCUGGGUAUACUGCGGGGCUUGAGGCGAGUAGGGGUGCCUGGAACUCUAGGUGGAGCGGUGAAAUGCGUAGAUAUCUAGAGGAACGCCCGUGGCGAAAGCGGGGCACUGGGCUCGUCCUGACGCUGAGACGCGAAAGCGUAGGGAGCAAACGGG
rnacentral:rRNA from 1 species